rnacentral:rRNA from 1 species
AGUGAACGCUGGCGGUAGGCCUAACACAUGCAAGUCGAACGGCAGCACAGUAAGAGCUUGCUCUUACGGGUGGCGAGUGGCGGACGGGUGAGGAAUACAUCGGAAUCUACUUUUUCGUGGGGGAUAACGUAGGGAAACUGACGCUAAUACCGCAUACGACCUACGGGUGAAAGCAGGGGAUCUUCGGACCUUGCGCGAUUGAAUGAGCCGAUUUCGGAUUAGCUAGUUGGCGGGGUAAAGGCCCACCAAGGCGACGCUCCGUAGCUGGGCUGAGAGGAUGGCCAGCACAACGGGACCGGGGACCGGGCCCAACCCCCUACGGGAGGCAGAGGUGGGGAAUAUUGGAAAAUGGGCGCAAGCCUGCGCCAGCAAUCCCGGGUGGGUGAAGAAGUCCUUCGGGUGGUAAAGCCCUUUUGUUGGGAAAGAAAAGCAGCAGGUUAAUUCCCCGCUGUUCUGAGGUUACCAAAAGAAUAAGCACCGCUUACUUUCGU